AUUGGAAAGAAAGGGUUUCUGUGGUUUUUUCUAAGCGCUGAAUGUCUUUUUACUGCCCUCUCACGGCGGCAACAGGGGUUCGAAUCCCCUAUGGGACGCCA
rnacentral:tRNA from 1 species